rnacentral:rRNA from 1 species
AUUGAACGCUGGCGGCAGGCCUAACACAUGCAAGUCGAGCGGAUGAAGGGAGCUUGCUCCUGGAUUCAGCGGCGGACGGGUGAGUAAUGCCUAGGAAUCUGCCUGGUAGUGGGGGAUAACGUCCGGAAACGGGCGCUAAUACCGCAUACGUCCUGAGGGAGAAAGUGGGGGAUCUUCGGACCGCACGCUAGCAGAGGAGCCUAGGUCGGAUUAGCUAGUUGGUGGGGUAAAGGCCUACCAAGUCGACGAUCCGUAACUGGUCUGAGAGGAUGAUCAGUCACCCUGGAACUGAGACACGGUCCAGACUACUACGGGAGGCAGCAGUGGGGAAUAUUGGACAAUGGGCGAAAGCCUGAUCCAGCCAUGCCGCGUGUGUGAAGAAGGUCUUCGGAUUGUAAAGCACUUUAAGUUGGGAGGAAGGGCAGUAAGUUAAUACCUUGCUGUUUUGACGUUACCAACAGAAUAAGCACCGGCUAACUUCGUG